GAUGAAGAACGCAGCGAAAUGCGAUACUUGGUGUGAAUUGCAGAAUCCCGUGAACCAUCGAGUCUUUGAACGCAAGUUGCGCCCGAAGCCUCGGCUAAGGGCACGUCUGCCUGGGCGUCACGCAUCGCGUCUCCCCCAAACCGCCAAGGCGGAGGGGAAGGAAGAUGGCUUCCCGUGCCUCACCCGGGCGCGGUUGGCCUAAAUUUGGAGCCCGCGGCACUUAGCUCUCGCGGCGAUAGGUGGUGAACAAGGCCUUGGCCGUGCAAACAACCCGCUGCGAAGCUCUAUGUCACGUGCGCUCGUCGGACCCUUUGAAGUUGCCUUUGGUGACUUAAAACCUUCGCGACCCCAGGUCAGGCGGGGCUACCCGCUGAAUUUAAGCAUAUCAAUAAGCGGAGGA
rnacentral:misc_RNA from 1 species